GAUCACCAGCUAAGGCCCCUAAAUGACCGUUCAGGGAAGCAGAGACAACCAGGAGGUUUGCCUAGAAGCAGCCACCCCUGAAAGAGUGCGUAAUAGCUCACUGAUCGAGCACUCUUGCGCCGAAGAUGAACGGGGCUAAGCGAUCUACCGAAGUUGUGGGAUGUAAAAAUACAUC
rfam:Helianthus annuus linkage group 6, whole genome shotgun sequence.